CUAACGCAUUAAAUGAUCCGCCUGAGUAGUAUGCUCGCAAGAGUGAAACUUAAAGGAAUUGACGGGGACCCGCACAAGCGGUGGAGCAUGUGGUUUAAUUUGAAGAUACGCGGAGAACCUUACCCACUCUUGACAUCCCCUGCAAAGCUAUAGAGAUAUAGUGGAGGUUAACAGGGUGACAGAUGGUGCAUGGUUGUCGUCAGCUCGUGUCGUGAGAUGUUUGGUCAACUCCUGCAACGAGCGCAACCCCUAUCUUUAGUU
rnacentral:ncRNA from 1 species